AAGAAAGAAGGAAGACAAAGAAAGAAAGGAAAUAAACCUGAAAAUUACAUCAAGAUGCUGUUCCCAUGGAGAUCAUUCCCAGCAACGGCACAGUCUCACCCAAGAAACGGACUCUGACUUGAGUCCUUAUCUUACUUUUGUUCAUGAGAAGAAUUUGAAUGGCAUGUGCCAACAGAUGUGGUUUGAAGCAGCCAGAAGACACACCAAACAAAUUCAACUUCUUCCAGGUCUACGACGAGCACUGGCCUUUUGCCUCAGGACUCUUGUGCUUUCCCCUCUGCCUGUGAGUGCCUCCUUUCCCUCAGACUGUCCAUCUUGACCUUGUUCAUUUACACUCAUUCUCCAGGCUUCAGAGAGUCACUCUACCCAUCUCCUAAAAACGACUUUGUGCCCUUUCUGUGGUAUUUAGGAGAUUUAAAUACUGUACAAACUCAUCACUCUCCCCAAUUCUUUGUUCAUGCUAUCCCUCCCCCUAGUAUCAUGUAGACUCAGAGGGAAGUUGGCCUGCCUUGCACACUCUGUAGUUCAGCACCCAGCACCAUAUGUACCACGUAACAGGCACUCAAAACAUGUUUAUUAAAUGAGUUCAUAAAGAGGACGAUGGAGUGUGUGCUCUGAGGGACUCAAGUCCAUGAGACUUCACAGGAAGAAUAUCAGACUGUGUCAGAAUGCUUUGCAAACAUGCCUCGCUUCCCUUUCAACUUGUAGAGCGAGCUCUGGGAAACUUUUUUUAUGCUAGCUUAAAAGUCUUAAAGUCUAUUUUCUCAAAGGCUUGCGGGAUUAAAAUCAAGCAUCUAGUGUCCUGAGAGAUCUCAGUAUUAAGUGACUUAUUUCUCCCUGUAGGAGAAAUUGCUGAUGGGGCUGUGAGAUAACCAGAACUUCAAGACUCAGCUAGGAUUUUGCACAUCCUUUGUUGGGGCAUUCUUCCAAUCUGCUUGCCACAAUGGAUACUGUUUAAGAGGAACUUAUCCUAGAGAAACUGAUAUAGAAGACUAUCAAGUCUAAGCAGAGACCCCCAUGCUUGCUUUUCCCUCUGCAAGGGGUUUGUGGUUCUGCAUAGAUGUACAAACUCCUAUGCAAAAAAAGACCUCUUUCAAGAAGGCUCCACCUAUGGUGAUCAAAGAAAUAAAGGCAAUUUAUGUUUCCAUUUUCAAGUCUUCUAAGUAACACAUAUGAAGUGUCGCAGGCUGGAAGGAAGCCAUGACCUCUCUCACCUCUUAAGUGUCUUCGGUGCCUCAAGAAACUCUUAGGGUUACUACAUUACUCCUAGAAUUUCUUCAGAAAGUGAAUGUUAUGUACACACAGAUGUUCUCACUUCUAGUACAAGCCUGGGUCUCUUUUCACACAGCUUGCCAAUAUGCUGGAUCUUUUCCACCAAAAUAACCCACACUGAAUAAAGCAAAAUUGUAGAUCCAGAGGCAGGACACUUCUGUCAGCACCCUGCACAGAAAAGUGUCCUUACCUAGUUCUGGAGUUGCGCUGUAAUACACAAAGGAACUGGAUAUUGGGUCUUCAGCAACCCACUCAUGUGUUGCGGAUGGAUGGAACCUGGGGCUCCAUACCACUAAAAUGAACUCUUGCAAGUAGGUCCAUACUAUUGGGGGAAAAAUCCUGCUGGAAGAUAAUGCAUCUGUACCCGUGAAACUGAGACUAUAUGCUGAUGAGAACUUGAGCUGCUCUGUCGGAACAUGGUCCAACAAUGGCGUUGUGGUAGGACAAUUCCGAGUGCUUGUGAGAAAACUCCAAGAAACCAAGACAAAAGUCUUGCCACCUGUUACUUCCAAAACAUGGAAUUGUUCUUGGAUUAUGCUUUCAUGGCCCUCUAAGCCCCAUCUACAGAGAUUUACCACCUGUGAUCAUCACAUAGAAAGAGAAUCCUUAAGACUCUUUGCUACUCAUGAUCUUGAGAAACAGGAAGAUUCUACUAAAAAUACCCUGAGGUGCUGGAGCACAAGCCUGGGAAACAUAAGAAAGUUUGGGUAUCAGCAAGGAGACACCAGUGUGUAAAGGCAUCACCACAUGAAUGGAGCUACAAGAGAUGGCAAAUUCCAGUACGUUUCAGGAAGGAGCUGAGUCAAUGUUUCAUGUGCAGUUACACAUACAGGCUGACUUUUCACAUCCAGAAAUGAUCUAAAUAUGCUUCGUGGGAUUCAAAAUCAGCAUCAGCUCCUCUUAGCAAAAAUCGCUUUCAUCUCUCCAAGAGCUGCUUCUGUGGAAUGUGUGGUCAUUCUUUGCUAGAAGGCAUUUGGGGAAGCCACAUCAGCCUAAAUUCUCAUGAGAAUUCCUCUUGCCUGUCAGAUACUUUAUCUUCAAAGAAUGGCACUUGACUGUUACGGGAUCCCUCCAUCCUCCAUGACAAAAUGAGAAAGUAUACAUUGGUGUUUCAACUGCUUCAGUUAUUGAGGUGACAUUUUGUACCAUGUGAUGGGAUAGGAAUGUCAUCAUGUUUCAUCUGUAUUUGUGAAAUAAAAUGUGCAACCCUCAUUUUCACUGAAAAGACAGCAGCCCAAAUUUCUGCCCUCUCACUCAAAGAGGGAAAACAUUCUGACUUAAAUUUCUUGAGGGGAUGGUGACUGAACAUUUUAAAGAUGGAUAUUGUUAUGGUUGUUGGAUGGAUUUGUUUAUAGUUUAGCAACAUUUGAUCUCUAUCUCCAGGAGAUGGUGGUAGCCAUUAACCAGAUAGUUUUCCUACUAGGUCAUUAUAAAACAGAUCAGAUUAGAGACUUGUACUCUAUACAUUAUUGGUCAAAUUCCUCUCAUUUCCAAACAUAGCCAAAACAUAAGAACAGCAAUUAUCAAGGUGUUCUAGGGAGACAAUUUUCCCAUAGGUACCUUAAACCAUCACUAGAACAAAGGGCAAAAAGUAAAGUUAAGCACCUAAGACUUAUUGCCACUAAGAACUUACUUUCCCUUCUGUUGAUGUACCAGGCAUUGCACUGAGUAUUUUACCCAUUCAUUUAUUUAGAUUUGGUUAUCUAUUCUGUGAGCAUGGGUAUUUUUGCUUACAUAUAUUUUGUGUACCACAUGCAUGCCUGGUGUUCACGGAAAGCAGAAAGGACAUGGAAUUUACUGAAACUGGAGUUAUAAGUGGUUGGAAGCCACCCAUGUAGGUACAAGGAACCAGGUCACCUAUUUAAGUGUGAGAGCAGUCAUGCUCAACUGCUGACCCAUCUCUCUAGCCACCCGUUCUUUCCCUUUAAACUGAUAACUCAGAACUAAGAAUUUCUGAGAGGCAAUUAAUUUCUGCAGAGGUAAACUUACAGGUCUCCAGCAUUUAAAAGCAGAUGAGUCCUGCAAUCUAAGAAGUGUUUAUUGAAAUGCCUUACAAAGAACAAUGGGGAAUGGCAUUUAACUAGCACAGACUACAGCAUAGGCUUUUUACAGAGAUAGUGUCUUGAUGUCUAGAGUCACUUAGAAAAUAGAUCUUCAUGUUCCACGGGUGAGAAACAGGAGGAUAAAGAGAUUAAAUCAACCAACACCACAAAUGAAAUCAAUAGCAAUGAUGAGAUUUAAACCCUUGAGCCUAACUCCAAACCCUAAUACAAUCUGCCUCAGAAGGCUGCCUAUCAGUUGUAUGAAACUGUGGACCCUGUACAAUGAAUGGCCUCUGUUUCUCAUGGCUCAUGUUCUGUGUUGUAUCUCAAUGUGUACAGACAUGACUAAUAUAAGACUGAAGACAGAACUACUUCAAAUGUGUUCUUAAAAUGUGUAUUUGAGUCCUUUGGGGAGCAAUACUUCUUUUAGUUUCUUCAAUUUGUAGAGGACCGUUGUCAUCUUAUUCCUGGCCCCUAUAGUUUAUUGUACCAGACUGCUAAGCCUGGAAAAAAGAACUGGGCAUGUGCAGAUCAUCCCAGGAGUCCUUUUCCCAUUGGAAGAUAUCGUGAUCAGGAAGAGCCUGUGUGUUUUAUGCUGCACCCCGAUUCUAUGGUUCUUAGCCACCACUGUCUCUGCACGUAACAGAAGUAUGAAUAGAAGUCCAAUUUUCAAGUUCAGAGUAUGAAUGCUCACUUGAUCGCAAGCAGCAUCCCCACAUUUUUAUAUCAGUUCUAUCAACAACAAAAGUGAUACUUCAACUUUAUUUCUGUCUGGCUUUCUCCUUUACCUUCUGUCUGUUGAUUUGAGUUAUAGAGAAAGGUACUAAUUAUUGAAUUCUUUCUAUCGCAGUAGCAACCAUAUGUGUCACAGAAGCCAGAGCAAAUGAAGUUCAAUGUUAAAAGAAAACUUGUUGCAAAUUGGGAGUUCUGAGUUAGAACUUGAAAAACGUGUUGCUAUCAGAAAGAGAUGCCUUCUUAUGCACUAUAUACCAUGAGUCAAAACCCUGUCCCCAGCAGGCCCCAAAUUACCCAUGAUAUGAGGAAUGGCUGAUGAGAACUGGAAUAAAACACAUCCCCAUCUAUUGAAGGUACGUCCAGGUGAAUGUCCACUCAUCGUCAGGGAGCCAGGUUCCUGUAGCAUCUAAAAAAGGGAGACAACGAGUAUUUGCUUUGGGAAACAGGACUGAUUUUCUCUUCUGCAGCAUAUCAGCUUCCUGAACUUACUGACCUGUAACCAUCUACACAUUUGUCCUUCCAUUCCCUCUAACACCUUUGUCAGCAGUUCCCUGUGACAAACUGUUUCUCUUAAAGUACCUAGAAAGCAAUUGUUUUCCUAAGACAGAACUGCCUUCAUAGAAUUCUAAGAAGAUGGAAUCAUUUUCAGUCAUAUCCUGGAAGUAAAUCUCUGGAAGGUGUCUGUCUGUCUUUG
rnacentral:sRNA from 1 species